CUACUUACCUGGAUGGGAUCUAUAGAUAAUUUAAAAGGUCCAUUGCCUAAUUUAGCGACCUCCAUUGCACAUUAAUUAAGGAGGGGUGCUCACUUAAGAUCUUCCCAUAGAAGGUUUCUACGUCAUAAUUUGUUCUUGAGGGUACCUGUCCGCGCGACCCUUAA